rnacentral:lncRNA from 1 species
UCUUACCUGUAAGAAGACUCAAGAUUUGGCUCAAACGCAUGUGGGAAAGGAAAGCUUUUGUUGUGAAAAAAAAUGGUGUUGCAACACCAAGAGUAAUUGCAGAACUCGAGAGUGAAAUCAUACUGGAUUUGGAAUUUGAGAGUAAUUUAACUGUAAAGAAUCGAUUUCUAACAUUCUUAAUACACCACCCUAUCUGUUAACUAAGUGAACUUUAGGAAUUAAGACAAAUUGAAACCUAGAAAUUGCAGAAAUAGAUGCAGUAGCAGAACUAGCUUUGGGUUUCAAGUUUGCUGUGGUUUCUGGAUUAAAGGUGUUACAAAAGUGACCCUUGUAUGCUAAAAAUUAGAAAGGAACAAGAUAAAAGGGAAAGGAAACUUAACCUAAAUCGAAACAGAAGGAAAAGUGCUUCUAAUUUGUACACCAGCGAUCCCAAGACUCAUACAAUGAUUCUCCAUCUAUUUGUGCGAAUGUGGUGAUGUCAUUCCUUAAUCUAGCUGUCUUUGAAGGGGAAAAGUACUUGACUAGAAAGUGUUGAGCCAUGUCCUCCCAAGUAGUGAUGGAACCAGCUGGUAAUGAGAUCAACCAAGCCUUAGAUCUAUCCUUCAAUGAGAAAGGGGAAAGUCUCAAUCUGAUUGCAUCAUUCCUCACUUUAUUCUACUUGAAACUGUUGCAAAUCUCCAGAAAAUUAGCAAUGUGCUCAUUAGGAUCUUUAGCUGGGAACCCAAAAAAUUGUAUACUCUGCUGAAUCAUCUUGAUGAUGGCUAGCUUAAUCUCAAAGUUAUUAACUGCUACACCCAGCCUUGUGACACUUGGUUCAAUUCCAAUAAGGGAUGGAAUAGCAUAACCUAUCAUUGUGCACUAUCUUCGCCCUUCCGAUUCGUCACCCAUUGUU